UAGACCGAUAGCGAACAAGUAGAGUGAUCGAAAGAUGAAAAGCACCUUGAAAAGAGGGUUAAAUAGUACGUGAAAUUGUUGAAAGGGAAGCGCUUGUGACCAGACUUGGGCGCGGCGGAUCAUCCGGGGUUCUCCCCGGUGCACUUCGCCGCGUCCAGGCCAGCAUCAGUUCGUCGCGGGGGAAAAAGGCUUCGGGAACGUGGCUCCCUCGGGAGUGUUAUAGCCCGUUGCGUAAUACCCUGCGGUGGACUGAGGACCGCGCAUCUGCAAGGAUGCUGGCGUAAUGGUCACCAGCGACCCGUCUUGAAACACGGACCAAGA
rnacentral:rRNA from 1 species